AGAGUUUGAUCCUGGCUCAGGACACGCUGCGGCGUGCUUAACACAUGCAAGUCGAACGGUGACGGAGGAGCUUGCUCCUCCUGAUCAGUGGCGAACGGGUGAGUAACACGUGAGUAACCUGCCCCAGACUCUGGAAUAACAGUUGGAAACAGCUGCUAAUACCGGAUACGAGACGGAGUCGCAUGACUACUGUCUGGAAAGUUUUUCGGUCUGGGAUGGACUCGCGGCCUAUCAGCUUGUUGGUGAGGUAACGGCUCACCAAGGCGACGACGGGUAGCCGGCCUGAGAGGGCGACCGGCCACACUGGGACUGAGACACGGCCCAGACUCCUACGGGAGGCAGCAGUGGGGAAUAUUGCACAAUGGGCGAAAGCCUGAUGCAGCAACGCCGCGUGAGGGAUGACGGCCUUCGGGUUGUAAACCUCUUUCAGUAGGGAAGAAGCGAAAGUGACGGUACCUACAGAAGAAGCACCGGCUAACUACGUG
rnacentral:rRNA from 1 species